rnacentral:rRNA from 1 species
ACGAACGCUGGCGGCAGGCCUAACCCAUGCAAGUCGAGCGAGGACUUCGGUCCUAGCGGCGGACGGGUGAGUAACGCGUGGGAACGUGCCCUUUGCUUCGGAAUAGCCCUGGGAAACUGGGAGUAAUACCGGAUGAGCCCUUUGGGGGAAAGAUUUAUCGGCGAAGGAUCGGCCCGCGUUGGAUUAGGUAGUUGGUGGGGUAAUGGCCUACCAAGCCGACGAUCCAUAGCUGGUUUGAGAGGAUGAUCAGCCACACUGGGACUGAGACACGGCCCAGACUCCUACGGGAGGCAGCAGUGGGGAAUCUUAGACAAUGGGGGAAACCCUGAUCGAGCCAUGCCGCGUGAGCGAUGAAGGCCUUAGGGUUGUAAAGCUCUUUCAGCUGGGAAGAUAAUGACGGUACCAGCAGAAGAAGCCCCGGCUAACUCCGUG